rnacentral:rRNA from 1 species
GAUGAACGCUGGCGGCGUGCCUAAUACAUGCAAGUCGAGCGAACAGAUGAGGAGCUUGCUCCUCUGACGUUAGCGGCGGACGGGUGAGUAACACGUGGAUAACCUACCUAUAAGACUGGGAUAACUUCGGGAAACCGGAGCUAAUACCGGAUAAUAUAUUGAACCGCAUGGUUCAAUAGUGAAAGACGGUUUUGCUGUCACUUAUAGAUGGAUCCGCGCCGCAUUAGCUAGUUGGGAAGGUAACGGCUUACCAAGGCGACGAUGCGUAGCCGACCUGAGAGGGUGAUCGGCCACACUGGAACUGAGACACGGUCCAGACUCCUACGGGAGGCAGCAGUAGGGAAUCUUCCGCAAUGGGCGAAAGCCUGACGGAGCAACGCCGCGUGAGUGAUGAAGGUCUUCGGAUCGUAAAACUCUGUUAUUAGGGAAGAACAAAUGUGUAAGUAACUAUGCACGUCUUGACGGUACCUAAUCAGAAAGCCACGGCUAACUACGUG